UACGAGUGCCUCAAGCGUUAUCCGGAAUCAUUGGGCGUAAAGGUUGUGUAGGUGGUUGUGUUAGUCUUUUGUUAAAUUCUUCGGCUUAACCGGGGGCAUGCAAGGGAAACGGCACGACUAGAGGAUGCGAGGGGUCUGCGGAACUCAUAGUGUAGCGGUGAAAUGCGUUGAUAUUAUGGGGAACACCAAAAGCGAAGGCAGCAGACUGGAGCACUCCUGACACUGAAACAUGAAAGCGUGGGUCGCGAAUGGG
rnacentral:rRNA from 1 species